rnacentral:lncRNA from 1 species
CUCUGUGUCCCCAGCCUGGGUGCCACUGGGGCUCUGUGUCCCCACUGAUGCUCCCACCUUGUGUGCCCAGCCAGGUGCCAGCCCUGAGAGCCGAGCAGCCCCAGCAGGUGACCUGGAGCCAGAGGGAGCCCAGCGCUGGCCCAGCACCCCCAGGAGCGAGCUGGAGCCACAGGGCCAGCACAGCGCCGUGACUGGGAAGCUGGUGACAGAGGCAGAUGGCAGAGGAUCCAGCACAGGGAGCGAGGAGCCAGAGCAGCUUGGGCUGACGUCCAAGGGCUCUGCAGCGGAGCUGUGGCGUCCGUGGCUCUUCCUCCCACAGCACUACUGGGUUUUCUUCUGGCUGCUUCUCCUGAGCAUCGCCUUCCUCCUCCUCGUCCGUGUCCUGGAGCUGCAGAGGCUGCAGCCUGCAGCAUCACCCAAGGCUUAGCUGGACCAGGGAGGGGGAGCUGGGAGACAUCUCUGCUCCUUCCCCACGUCCUAAAACACAA